rnacentral:rRNA from 1 species
UACGUAGGGGGCAAGCGUUGUCCGGAAUCAUUGGGCGUAAAGAGCGUGUAGGCGGUCCGAUAAGUCGGAUGUGAAAGCCCUCGGCUCAACCGGGGAAGUGCACCCGAAACUGCAUGGCUGGAGUCUCGGAGAGGAUCGUGGAAUUCUCGGUGUAGAGGUGAAAUUCGUAGAUAUCGAGAGGAACACCGGUGGCGAAGGCGGCGAUCUGGACGAUGACUGACGCUGAGACGCGAAAGCGUGGGGAGCAAACAGG